AUAUCAGUCCCUAAACAAAGCCCAACCAUCACAAACAACAAAUCAGAAGCAUCAAGAAGCCAGAAAUCAAAAAUCAAGCUUGAAAAGGUAGGAAAUCCUAAAUUCUAGAAAUCCUUCGAUUCGAUGUUAAUUGAUGCAAUUGAUUGUUUAAAGUAGUGUAAUAGAGAGUCUAUUAAUGUUCUGGGUUGUAAAAUCAUGAACCCAUAACAUCAAAGUGCACGAAUUUGAAGAUUUGAGCAAGUUGGAAAAACCGAAUUCUGUUAUUUUUCACCAAAUGUCAGAGGCUAUAACUCUUUGGUCGAUCAUGAGUUUUGUUGUUUAAAAGUUGUUAUAGGUAGCCUAAUAUGUGGUCUUUAAACUCCAAAAGGAAUCAGGUCUAUAUCUAUUGUAGAUCGGGAUUUAUAAGCGGUCAAAGUGGGUUGACCGGCAUUGACCGGCUGUUUUUCAAACCCAGAAAAUAUUCUAAGUGUCCAGAAAAUUUUUUUUUGGCAAAUGUCAGGCCUUAUAUCUCGGUCAUCUUUAAUGUGUUUUGUGUUCUAAAGGUUGAUAUGUGUAGCUUGUUAUGUGGUAUUUAACCUCCAAAAAGAAUCAGGUCCAUAUAUAUUACGGAUUAAGAGUUAUUUAAGGUCAAAGUGGGUUGACCGGCAUUGACCAGAAAAUUCUGGGCAGCCCAGAAUUUUCUAAGUGUUAAUUUUUCUGACAAGGUUUGACCAUACUUUAGAUGCUUGAUUUCUUGUUGUUAUGAUGAUGUUAAGUGUUAGAGUUGUAGUCCUACAUGUUGUCUACACACUGGAAUUGAUAGAUCACAUAAACGUUACACGAUCAUCAAGUUAUAGAGGUCCAAAGUAGGCACCUCGAACUGUUCUUCGUGAAGAACAGCUUUGGUAGCUACUUUGAUGGCUGAUUUAUCCCAGAUCUGAUGUUUGUUUAGAGGUUAUGAUUGUUGGAUCUUGUAGUCUUGUAUUUCCUCUACAAGACCCAAUUUAUAGAUUGUCCAAAUUCGUUAAGAUGAGAGAGUUAUUCACGGUCAAAGUAGGCCACUCGGUUCUGCCUUAUGAAGAUCUGGGUAGGCUCAAGAACACCUAUAGCGACACUUCUGUCACUAUAGGGGCCUUUAGCGACAGUUUUAAUUAUUUUAAUUUCUGAUUUUCCGGAAAUUAAUUUAAAAAUUAGAAAAAUUAGUUUUUAAUUAUUAAAAAUACCAAAUAAAUUAUGAAAAAUUAUUUUAAAGUCUGAAAAAUAGUUUUUAAUUAUUUUGAGUAUAUUUCAUAAAUAUUUAAUAUUUUUGAAAUAUAAAAGGUAUUUAUUUAUUUAAUUAUAAUAUUAAAUAAAUGAUUUAAAAAUAGUUUUAAUUCAUGAAAAAUCAUGAAAAAUUAUUUUAUGGUAUAAGAAAAUAUUUUGAGUUAUAAAAUAUAACUUUUAAUAUUUAGAAGAUAAUUUCAUUAAUAAUUAUAUAUUAAUGAUAUUUAGUUAAUGAUUUGUGAUAUUAAGUUUAUUUAAUAUUUAUAUUAAAUAAAUAGUUUAAAAAUGGUUUUAUUUAUUUAAAAAUCAUUUAAAGAGGAUAUUAAGGAUUUAAAAAUAUCUUAAGUUAUAAUUAAUAACUUUUAAUAUUUGGAUAAAUAGUACAUUAAUAUUUAUAUAUUAAUGGUGAUUAUUUAAAAAUGAUUUUAAUUAUUUUAAAAAUCAUUUAAGGGUAAAAUAAAUGUUUUAAAAAUAGUUUGAGUUAUUAUAAAUAACUUUUAUAUUUUGGCAAUGGUUUCAUUAAUAGUUUAAUAUAAAUAAAUUAUUAAUGAUAAAUGAAUUGUUUAAUGUUUAAAUCAUGUAAUUAUAAUUCUGAUGUUUGAAAGUGAUAUCCGGUCAGACUAGCUGACUAGAGAACCGAUUAUGAAGUC
rnacentral:lncRNA from 1 species